rnacentral:rRNA from 1 species
CCUACGGGAGGCAGCAGUGAGGAAUAUUGGUCAAUGGGCGCGAGCCUGAACCAGCCAAGUCGCGUGAGGGAAGACGGCCCUACGGGUUGUAAACCUCUUUUGCCGGGGAGCAACGGGCGCCACGUGUGGCGCCACUGAGAGUACCCGGAGAAAAAGCAUCGGCUAACUCCGUGCCAGCCGCCGCGGUAAUACGGGGGAUGCGGGCGUUCUCCGGAUUUAUUGGGUUUAAAGGGUGCGUAGGCGGAGCGUUAAGUCAGUGGUAAAAUUGAGGGGCUCAACCCCUUCCCGCCAUUGAAACUGGCGCUCUUGAGUGGAAGAGAGGGAUGCGGAAUGCGUGGUGUAGCGGUGAAAUGCAUAGAUAUCACGCAGAACCCCGAUGGCGAAGGCAGCAUGCCGGCUUCCGACUGACGCUGAAGCACGAAAGCGUGGGGAUCGAACAGGAUUAGAUACCCUAGUAGUC